rnacentral:rRNA from 1 species
UCGGGAAUUUUGGGCAAUGGGGGAAACCCUGACCCAGCAACGCCGCGUGAAGGAUGAAGUAUUUCGGUAUGUAAACUUCGAAAGAAUAGGAAGAAUAAAUGACGGUACUAUUUAUAAGGUCCGGCUAACUACGUGCCAGCAGCCGCGGUAAUACGUAGGGACCAAGCGUUGUUCGGAUUUACUGGGCGUAAAGGGCGCGUAGGCGGCAAUUCAAGUCAUCUGUGAAAUCUCCGGGCUUAACUCGGAACGGUCAGAUGAUACUGCUUUGCUAGAGUGCAGAAGGGGCAAUCGGAAUUCUUGGUGUAGCGGUGAAAUGCGUAGAUAUCAAGAGGAACACCUGAGGUGAAGACGGGUUGCUGGGCUGACACUGACGCUGAGGCGCGAAAGCCAGGGGAGCAAACAGGAUUAGAUACCCCCGUAGUCCCUGAGCGGGCUGGCAAGGCGCAU